AGUGGACUUCCUGUCUCAGAAGACCAAUGUGAAGUGACAUGUUGAGGCAGUACUGGCAUUUCUAUCAUCGCCAUUACCAGGGCUUGAGUUGAAGAAGGACAAAGAUAAAAGGCAGAGCCGAGCCAGGAAGAUACAAAAGGCAAAGGAGAACGAGCAAAGUGGAGCAUACAAGCAAAACAUCCCUUGUUUAGAAGAUGGGAAAGGAGAUUGUUCAGCUGCAAGAAGAGGAAACAGUAUCCUGGGCUGCAUUCAACAUAACUUUGCCAGCAGGUUGAUGAAGGUCAACCUCCACUCAGCACUGGUAAGACCAUAUUUGGAGUGCUGUCUCCAGUUAGGAUGUCUUACAUGAAUUCCCUCUGUGAGAUGCUGUGAACUACUAUGCUGUGUCCCUAUUCUCACAGAAAAUUAGAGAUAUGCAACAGCCAAUCUUUGUACAACAAC